rnacentral:rRNA from 1 species
AGAACGAACGCUGGCGGCAUGCCUAACACAUGCAAGUCGAACGAGACCUUCGGGUCUAGUGGCGCACGGGUGCGUAACGCGUGGGAAUCUGCCCUUGGGUUCGGGAUAACAGUUGGAAACGACUGCUAAUACCGGAUGAUGUCUUCGGACCAAAGAUUUAUCGCCCAAGGACGAGCCCGCGUAGGAUUAGCUUGUUGGUGAGGUAAGAGCUCACCAAGGCGACGAUCCUUAGCUGGUCUGAGAGGAUGAUCAGCCACACUGGGACUGAGACACGGCCCAGACUCCUACGGGAGGCAGCAGUGGGGAAUAUUGGACAAUGGGCGAAAGCCUGAUCCAGCAAUGCCGCGUGAGUGAUGAAGGCCUUAGGUUGUAAAGCUCUUUUACCCGGGAUGAUAAUGACAGUACCGGAGAAUAAGCCCGGCUAACUCCGUGCCAGCAGCCGC